AUUUCAGAGGAGGGGAGUCUUGCAGAGUCGCGGUAGCUCUGGUCCUGGAGAUUCAGCCAUGCGCACAUUUGUGCGCACUCAGUGCCUGCUGAUUCUGCUGAGCAGCAAACUGUGCACUGCUCAGGCUUCGGAACUUUUACAAAUAAUUCGUAGCCAAAAGGACGUCUUGUGGAAUUGUUAUCUAUGAAGAGGUUAAGGAAAAAUUCAGCACCGAAACCCUAGUCUUGAUUCUGAACACUCUACUUGCUCUGUUUUCCCUUAGGGAGGAAGGAUCCCCAGAGAGGCUCCCUGACCACUGCAAGCACUUCUCAAAGGGCUUGAAGGAGCUCAACGAAAAAACCCCAUUGCUGCCCAAGACUUCUGAGAGCCAAACUGGUAGAUUUGUGCAACCUGCAGUGAAAUUGUCCACACUAUACGCAAAGAUUAAACUCUGUGUCUUUAUAAGCAGGCAGAAAGGAUUCCAGCUUCCUUAGGUGUUCGCUGAUUGGGAUCCAGAAGCCCGCAACAAAUGGAUUCGCUUCCUCCUUUGUGCUUUCUCCUCCAGGGAGGAAGGAUCCCCAGAGAGGCUCCCUGACCACUGCAAGCACUUCUCAAAGGGCUUGAAGGAGCUCAACGAAAAAACCCCAUUGCUGCCCAAGACUUCUGAGAGCCAAACUGGUAGAUUUGUGCAACCUGCAGUGAAAUUGUCCACACUAUACGCAAAGAUUAAACUCUGUGUCUUUAUAAGCAGGCAGAAAGGAUUCCAGCUUCCUUAGGUGUUCGCUGAUUGGGAUCCAGAAGCCCGCAACAAAUGGAUUCGCUUCCUCCUUUGUGCUUUCUCCUCCAGGGAGGAAGGAUCCCCAGAGAGGCUCCCUGACCACUGCAAGCACUUCUCAAAGGGCUUGAAGGAGCUCAACGAAAAAACCCCAUUGCUGCCCAAGACUUCUGAGAGCCAAACUGGUAGAUUUGUGCAACCUGCAGUGAAAUUGUCCACACCGAUACGCAAAGGUUAAACUCUGUGCCUUUAUAAGCAGGCAGAAAGGAUUCCAGUUUCCUUAGGUGUUCGCUGAUUGGGAUCCGGAAGACCACAGCAAAUGGAUUCGCUUCCUCCUUUGUGCUUUCUCCUCCAGAUGCGUGGGAGAGCUUGAAGAUGGUUGAGGACCAAUAACCUGAGAAAGAGAAAUGUAUCCAAUCCCUUCUAUGUGAGAUAAUGUAACUUUGUGAUAAACAGAUAUACCAGUGAGGGGGAGUCAUUCAGAGAAACAAGGAGAGGAUUCCUGAUAGAAUUGGGGCGGAGGGAGAGAACCUGGAAGAAGCCUAUCUUGGCAUUCUUGAUGCUACACUGCCAUCCAGCGGAAUUACUUUGCUGUACUGCCACCACCUCUAUGAAGCUUUUUCUCAGUCUGUCUGAAAGUGAGAUGUGAGUGCCCAGGCCUUCUGGUUCAAAUAUUGAAUCAGCAACCAAUGAACAAAUGAAGGUACGUCCAGCCAACUGACCUGUUCUGGGGUUAGACAGGGUUUGUUUUUGGAGUAAUAAAUUCAGCUACUCGGGAAUUUGGCUCCAGCUGCAGAUGUAGCAGAGGAGAUGGCUUUGCUUGGCAUCAAUAGGAGGAGAUGCCCUUGGUCCUAUAAAGGCUAAAUACCCCAGUGUAGGGGAAUACCAGAGAUUUGAGGUGAAAGUGGGUACAUCCUCAUAGAACCAGGUAGAUGAGGGAGGGGAAUGGGAGGGGGGAAUAACAUUUGAAAUGUAAAUACAUAAUAUAUUCAAUUAAAAAAAACCAGUAGGAUUAAUUCAGAAAGACUGGUGGUCAGAAAAACUCAACCACAUUGUAGUCUCCUGGCAAAGAGAAACCCCAGGGUCAAGGUCAAAAUGACUCCUCCACCAUGUGGUGACUAUUUUAAGUAGGAAGCUGACCUGUUCAACCAGAGGAAUCAUGGGUAGAAUAAGUCCCAACUUUGACAGGUGGCAGAAAUGGAGCUAUAUUCUCCUAGACUUCAGAGUAAGCUAGCUGUGUGUUCCUGUGUUUUACACUUGCAUCUCAAGAUGUCCUCUGCAGAGGAAGCAAGGUCAUAGAGUAUCCAGAAUCCAUGGCAAAGUCUCUUGCCUCUAGUAGGUUGGAAGACAUUACUAAACUCAGACACAGGAACAUGGUUAGUCUACAGUGUAAGUCUUUUAGAGACUCAACCUCUGCAUAGAAUAGAUGGGUACACCUGACAGGCAGUGCUCAGAUCACUGAGCAGUGACAUUCUGUUCCGUUGGGAGGUGCAAGUCUUUGUUUUCGAUGCUCUGCCCAAGACCCUUCCCUUGAAAGUGUGUGAAAGGUGCCAGGUCCAGUCUUUAGGUAUGUCUUGCCUUGGGCCAGUGAGAACUUGUAGCAAGACAGUCAGGCACAAGAGCUUCAUCCAUAUCUCCAUAAUGAAAUUUGCUCUACCUCAGAAGCUCCCUCUUGUGUAUCUUAAGGCCUUCUUUCUCAGGGAAAUUACAUGCUUCACAAUAGUCACAAAUAUUAUAAAAUACCCUGGGGUAACUCUAACCAAACGAGUGAAGGUUCUGUAUAUAACAACUUCAAGUCUCUAAAUAAAUAAAUAAAUAAAUAGGAAGAAGAGCUCAGAAAAUGGAGAGAUAUCCCACAAUUAUGAACUAGUAGGCUAAACCUAGUAAAAUGGCCAUCUUAACAAAAUCAGUUUACAGAUUAAAUGCAAUCCCCAUCAAAAUCCCAACACAAUUCAUUAAAAACAUGGAAAAAGCAAUUCUCAAUUUCAUGCUGCACAUGAUUUUUAAAAACCAAGAUCCACAUACAAGUAGUACUAUUUCCCUGUGAGAAAAUGAAAUACGGGCAAAUAUCUUUUCUGGCAGAGGCUGAGUAGGAUAGUGGAAAGUAUUGUUUAUAGACAACGAGAUCAUAAUAUUUUCCAGGAACGGUCAAAGAGAUGGAAUACAGCCAGAACUGAGGAGCUAGUGGGUUGGUAGCAGCUGGGAUAGGCUAACAGUUCUUUGAAAUUUACUAGUUCCCAGUUAGGUUCAAUGGGAGCCUACUGUUUCAUUAGAGUCUGAAAUUGCCUCAACACAAAAUCUCAUGUGAGCAGCCAGUACUGGUGCAUACCUUUAAUCACAGCACAUAGGAGGCAGAGUUAUGCAGAUUUCUUGGAGUUCAAGGUCAGCCUGGUCAACAACACAAGUUUCAGGAGAGCCUGACCUGCUACAGAGAGAAACUCUGUCUCGGAAAACAAAAGGUUGGGGCAAAACAGCUCAUGUGAGCUAUGCAAGAUGGCUGACAGACACAACUGAGUACACAGACAGGGUCCUAGAAUUCUUAGGCUAGGGUCUCAGGGAAAGAAAACCAAAGGGUUCUGAUGACAGUUGUCCUUUCUCCUCUUUCUCCUCUGGUUCUCUUCCAUGGUCUGAGGAACUGGGGCUGUGAAAAUAGAAACAAUCCCUAUGUAUUCUCUACUCUGCACAAGCUGGAGUCUCCUCAUCCUUGGCCAUGUGUGGCUGGCACGUAGACUUGCAGACUGGAGAUGCCCUGGAAUUGAACUCACUGCCCCAUGUUUGCAGAACAGUUAAGAAAAAACAUACCUGGAGAACCUUACUAGGAAGAUUUUGAGGGCUGAAAGUUAUGGCUGCUUUGAGCUCUCAAGGGAACUGAUGCCUGGGAUCCUAAGGAUCUGAAUACAUGGAGAAGGACAAAGAAAUUUCCAAUCUGAGGUCUUUGGAUCCUUAAGCCAAUAGAACAGAAUAGAGAGGAGAGCUGCUAACCAAACACUUCGGUCUUCUUGUCUAAAGAUCUCAACUUAUGGAGUCCAUGACCCUGGAUUUGCAUGGGUGGAUGUUCUGGGCCAUUGCUACAUCAUGGAUGUUUUCCCGGCCUGUGGGUUGUGUGGGGACCUGAUUUGAUGCUGAACCACGGAUUCCAAGUCCAAGACAAAGAGAGCUCUCCCAGCAAAACUCCUGAAGUACAGCAGAAGAAUAAAGGGAAUAAAAAGGAAGCCAAAAGACAGAAAAUACAGAAAGGAAGGGAAGAAAAAAAGCAGAGACAACAGGCUGAGUAUCUAAGAGUGGAAGGAGGGAAGGAAUGAAAAAGAGGGAGUAAUGGAAGUGAGAGUAGGGUAGAGAGUAUGAUGAAUUGAAAGGACUGACAUAUUUUUGACCUCUAGAUGGCAUUUCUCGAGACCCUGAAGCUCAUGAACAAAGUCCAGAAUCUCAUGGGCACUGGCUGAUUCCAAGAAAUGAGAUAUAUAUGCAGAAAGGUAUCUAAAAAACAGGUCAGAGGCAAUUGGGGGAGAUUCCUAACCUUGAUCAGCAAGUUACCCACAUAUCUGUGCCCCAGUUGAUGAAUCCGAAAUAGUGUUCCUCAUCACUGUGCAAACAUGGCCGCCUCGAGAUCACAAAGCCCAUAUUCGCAAGUAGCUGAAUUUAUUACUCAGAGAAGCAAGCUGGCUAACCGCAGAACCUGCCAGUUGGCUCAAGCUACCUUCACUUUAAUAUUUGAACCAGAAGCUGAAGCACUCCUCACCCACUACCAGACUUGCCAAGGAAAAGCUUAUGGAGGUGUUGAUAAGAACAGCAAAGCAAUUCCACUGGAUGGCAGUGUAGUAUCAAGAAUGUGAAGAUACCCUUCUUACAGGUUCUCUCCCUCCGCCCUUCUUGGAGUGAAAAAAAAAAAAAAAACUGAAACAGUUCAACAUAACACUUGACUCUGAUAUAUGUUAGAUAGAAAUUGGUUCCUUAUGUCUACAGUACCUAUUAUCACUGAUCUGACCUGGGUGGUCUCUGUUUCAGUGUAUUAAGAUAUUCUCCCACAAGGACAGGGACCAUCCUCAAGGCAUAAGGGCCAAACAGGAAAACCCAAUGAGGAUCCCUUCCCCUGGAUGCAAGGGUCAGGAGAAGCCAUAGAAACAAACUUCUAGCCAGAGACUUAGUCUGGGGCACAGUACAGCACCAUCAGUUCAGCACUCGAGUUCGCACUAAAUUCGGAACUGCAAAGCUAGAAAGAAGAGUCAGAAGACGCAAUACAUAUAAAUUCUUCAGAAGAAACGGGACCUUGGGCUGAGUACAAGUCCCUCCUGUGCUACCAAGAUAUAUCUAUUCUUCAGUCCUUUGCCCCCAGACAUUUUGAGAGAAAACACACUGAAUUAUUGGUGGGAACAUUAAGAACAGAUCACUUGCUGACAGUAUUGAACCAAGAAGCCAAGGUACCCAUCUUUCAGGUUCUCUCCCUCCACCCUUCUUUGAUAAACAACAACAACAACAACACCACACACACACACACACACACACACACACACACACACACACACACACACACAUUUUGCCAAUAAAUCCCAAGUUGACUGACCUUAAUCAUGGCCUCCUUUGGCCAGAGAUGGGCUUUGGAGCUUCACUGUAUACAUACUGUCUCGGAGGUCACAGGCCACACAAGUUCCUCAUUCCCAGUCCAACACAAGAACGUGGCAUGCCCUCAGAAACAUACAGGAAAACUAAGAGCAAUGGUCAAAAGAAGGUCUACAAAUACAUUCUUAGGCAGAAACUUGACCUUGGGCAACAUAUGACUCACUCACAUCUUUCCAGAAAUAAUCUGACUGGCCCAUAUGUACAUAACUUAUAACUGGAAUUUUGUCAGUGAGUGCCAAGGUAAACCAUAGAGUGUUCAGUCCUCCCACGGGGAAGAAGAGAUUGUAUAGCCAUUCGACAACCAAGCUUCUAGUUCAAGGCUACCUGAUUCUUCUCCCUACACAUACAUACCAGGCUCCUGACAGGAAAAGUUGGAAGGACAAAUAAGGAAGACAGUUGGAACAAUAGAGACAACCAGCUAUUCAAACAGAGUCAAGGGCCAGUGAUACAUUCAAACCUAGAAGAAGGAGAUGCCAGGUUGUAGUGAAGAAGAAAAAAAAAAAAAAAAACCACACACAAACACACAGAUGCUUUCCUUUUUGAGUGCCCUAGUUCCUUUUUUACAAACCAGAGUCAAAAUAAAAACUACAACUGUCACCCAAA
rnacentral:sRNA from 1 species